rnacentral:rRNA from 1 species
AUUGAACGCUGGCGGAAUGCUUUACACAUGCAAGUCGAACGGUAGAGGGGGCAACCCCCUUGAGAGUGGCGAACGGGUGAGUAAUAUAUCGGAACGUGCCCAGUCGUGGGGAUAACGUAGCGAAAGUUACGCUAAUACCGCAUACGAUCUAAGGAUGAAAGCGGGGGAUCGCAAGACCUCGCGCGAUUGGAGCGGCCGAUAUCAGAUUAGGUAGUUGGUGGGGUAAAGGCUCACCAAGCCAACGAUCUGUAGCUGGUCUGAGAGGACGACCAGCCACACUGGAACUGAGACACGGUCCAGACUCCUACGGGAGGCAGCAGUGGGGAAUUUUGGACAAUGGGCGAAAGCCUGAUCCAGCAAUGCGCGUGCAGGAAGAAGGCCUCGGUGUAAC